GGAUUGUGGCUCAGUGGCAGAGUGCUUGCCUCGCAUGUAUAAGGCAUUGGGUUCAAUCCUCAGCACCA
rnacentral:tRNA from 1 species